CUUGGGGGGGGGGGGGUCCCUCAGCCCAGAUUGCGAAAGGGCAUAGACCAGGCCGAGGGACCCCACUGGUGCAGG
rfam:Myotis lucifugus cont2.18184, whole genome shotgun sequence.